rnacentral:rRNA from 1 species
UAAUGCUUGGGAACUUGCCUUUGCGAGGGGGAUAACAGUUGGAAACGACUGCUAAUACCGCAUAAUGUCUUCGGACCAAACGGGGCUUCGGCUCCGGCGCAAAGAGAGGCCCAAGUGAGAUUAGCUAGUUGGUAAGGUAACGGCUUACCAAGGCGACGAUCUCUAGCUGUUCUGAGAGGAAGAUCAGCCACACUGGGACUGAGACACGGCCCAGACUCCUACGGGAGGCAGCAGUGGGGAAUAUUGCACAAUGGGGGAAACCCUGAUGCAGCCAUGCCGCGUGUGUGAAGAAGGCCUUCGGGUUGUAAAGCACUUUCAGUUGUGAGGAAAAGUUAGUAGUUAAUACCUGCUAGCCGUGACGUUAACAACAGAAGAAGCACCGGCUAACUCCGUGCCAGCAGCCGCGGUAAUACGGAGGGUGCGAGCGUUAAUCGGAAUUACUGGGCGUAAAGCGCACGCAGGCGGUUUGUUAAGCUAGAUGUGAAAGCCCCGGGCUCAACCUGGGAUGGUCAUUUAGAACUGGCAGACUAGAGUCUUGGAGAGGGGAGUGGAAUUCCAGGUGUAGCGGUGAAAUGCGUAGAUAUCUGGAGGAACAUCAGUGGCGAAGGCGACUCCCUGGCCAAAGACUGACGCUCAUGUGCGAAAGUGUGGGUAGCGAACAGGAUUAGAUACCCUGGGUAGUCCACACCGUAAACGCUGUCUACUAGCUGUGUGUGUCUUU